CCUACGGGAGGCAGCAGUGAGGAAUAUUGGUCAAUGGUCGGGAGACUGAACCAGCCAAGCCGCGUGAGGGAUGAAGGUACAGAGUAUCGUAAACCUCUUUUGUCAGGGAACAAAGGCGGGGACGUGUCCCCGGAUGAGUGUACCUGAAGCAAAAGCAUCGGCUAACUCCGUGCCAGCAGCCGCGGUAAUACGGAGGAUGCGAGCGUUAUCCGGAUUUAUUGGGUUAAAAGGGUGCGCAGGCGGUCUGUUACGUCGGCGGUAAAAGCCCGGGGCUCAACCCCGGCCCGCCGUUGAAACUGGCAGUCUCGAGUUGGAGAGAAGUAUGCGGAAUGCGGGGUGUAGCGGUGAAAUGCAUAGAUAUCGCGCAGAACUCCGAUUGCGAAGGCAGCAUGCCGGCUCCACACUGACGCUGAGGCACGAAAGCGUGGGUAUCGAACAGGAUUAGAUACCCUUGUAGUC
rnacentral:rRNA from 1 species